rnacentral:rRNA from 1 species
GACGAACGCUGGCGGCGUGCCUAAUACAUGCAAGUCGAACGCAGUGGGGACGGGUGAGUAACACGUGGGUAACCUCCCAUCAGAGGGGAUAACACUUGGAAACAGGUGCUAAACCGAUACUGAUGGAUGGACCCGCGGUGCAUUAGCUUGUAGGUGAGGUAACGGCUCCCCUAGGCGACGGUCCCUAGCUGGUCUGAGAGGAGGAUCAGCCACACUGGGACUGAGACAAGGCCCAGACUCCUAAGGGAGGCAGCAGUAGGGAAUAUUCGGCAAUGGAAGAAAGUCUGACCGAGCAACGCCGCGUGAGUGAAGAAGGUUUUCGGAUCGUAAAACUCUGUUGUUAGAGAAGCGGUAUCUAACCAGAAAGCCACGGCUAACUACGUGCCAGCAGCCGCGGUAAUAC